rnacentral:rRNA from 1 species
GGGGRAAUUCUGAUCCAGCCAUNCCGCGUGUAGGAUGACUGCCCUAUGGGUUGUAAAMUUCUUUUAUAUAGGAAGAAACCUCUCUACGUGUAGGRAUCUGACGGUACUAUAAGAAUAAGGACCGGCUAACUCCGUGCCAGCAGCCGCGGUAAUACGGAGGGUCCAAGCGUUAUCCSGAUUUAUUGGGUUUAAAGGGUGCGUAGGSGGRAAUUUAAGUCAGAGGUGAAAUCCUGCAGCUCAACGUAGARAUGCCCUUGAAACUGUUUUUCUUGARUAURGUUGAGGUGGGCGGAAUAUGUGGUGUAGCGGUGAAAUGCWUAGAUAUUACAUAGAACACCGAUUGGGAAGGCAGCUUUCUAAACUAUUAUUGACGCUGAGGSACGAAAGCGUGGGGAGCGAACAGGAUUAGAUACCCYGGUAGUCCCCGCCSUAAAMGAUGAUUACUCGCUAUKGGSGAUAUACUSUCAGUGUCCAAGCGAAAGYGUUAAGU